UACGGAGGAUGCGAGCGUUAUCCGGAUUUAUUGGGUUUAAAGGGUGCGUAGGCGGAUUAAUAAGUCAGUGGUGAAAACCUUCAGCUUAACUGGAGAACUGCCAUUGAUACUGUUAGUCUUGAGUACGGUCAAGGUAGGCGGAAUGUGUAAUGUAGCGGUGAAAUGCUUAGAUAUUACACAGAACACCGAUUGCGAAGGCAGCUUACUGGACCAUUACUGACGCUGAUGCACGAAAGCGUGGGGAGCGAACAGG
rnacentral:rRNA from 1 species